AGAGUUUGAUCCUGGCUCAGAUCGAACGCUGGCGGCAGGCUUAACACAUGCAAGUCGAGCGGGGGAAGGUAGCUUGCUACCGGACCUAGCGGCGGACGGGUGAGUAAUACUUAGGAAUCUGCCUAUUAGUGGGGGACAACGUUUCGAAAGGGACGCUAAUACCGCAUACGCCCUACGGGGGAAAGCAGGGGAUCUUCGGACCUUGCGCUAAUAGAUGAGCCUAAGCCGGAUUAGCUAGUUGGUGGGGUAAAGGCCUACCAAGGCGACGAUCUGUAGCGGGUCUGAGAGGAUGAUCCGCCACACUGGGACUGAGACACGGCCCAGACUCCUACGGGAGGCAGCAGUGGGGAAUAUUGGACAAUGGGGGGAACCCUGAUCCAGCCAUGCCGCGUGUGUGAAGAAGGCCUUUUGGUUGUAAAGCACUUUAAGCGAGGAGGAGGAGCUCUAGGUUAAUACCUUAGAUGCUUGGACGUUACUCGCAGAAUAAGCACCGGCUAACUCUGUGCCAGCAGCCGCGGUAAUACAGAGGGUGCGAGCGUUAAUCGGAUUUACUGGGCGUAAAGCGUACGUAGGCGGCUUUUUAAGUCGGAUGUGAAAUCCCUGAGCUUAACUUAGGAAUUGCAUCCGAUACUGGGAAGCUAGAGUAUGGGAGAGGAUGGUAGAAUUCCAGGUGUAGCGGUGAAAUGCGUAGAGAUCUGGAGGAAUACCGAUGGCGAAGGCAGCCAUCUGGCCUAAUACUGACGCUGAGGUACGAAAGCAUGGGGAGCAAACAGGAUUAGAUACCCUGGUAGUCCAUGCCGUAAACGAUGUCUACUAGCCGUUGGGGCCUUUGAGGCUUUAGUGGCGCAGCUAACGCGAUAAGUAGACCGCCUGGGGAGUACGGUCGCAAGACUAAAACUCAAAUGAAUUGACGGGGGCCCGCACAAGCGGUGGAGCAUGUGGUUUAAUUCGAUGCAACGCGAAGAACCUUACCUGGCCUUGACAUACAGAGAACUUUCCAGAGAUGGAUUGGUGCCUUCGGGAACUCUGAUACAGGUGCUGCAUGGCUGUCGUCAGCUCGUGUCGUGAGAUGUUGGGUUAAGUCCCGCAACGAGCGCAACCCUUUUCCUUAUUUGCCAGCACUUCGGGUGGGAACUUUAAGGAUACUGCCAGUGACAAACUGGAGGAAGGCGGGGACGACGUCAAGUCAUCAUGGCCCUUACGGCCAGGGCUACACACGUGCUACAAUGGUCGGUACAAAGGGUUGCUACCUAGCGAUAGGAUGCUAAUCUCAAAAAGCCGAUCGUAGUCCGGAUUGGAGUCUGCAACUCGACUCCAUGAAGUCGGAAUCGCUAGUAAUCGCGGAUCAGAAUGCCGCGGUGAAUACGUUCCCGGGCCUUGUACACACCGCCCGUCACACCAUGGGAGUUUGUUGCACCAGAAGUAGGUAGUCUAACCGCAAGGAGGACGCUUACCACGGUGUGGCCGACGACUGGGGUG
rnacentral:rRNA from 1 species